rnacentral:rRNA from 1 species
UACGGAGGGAGCUAGCGUUGUUCGGAAUUACUGGGCGUAAAGCGCACGUAGGCGGUUAUUCAAGUCAGAGGUGAAAGCCCGGGGCUCAACCCCGGAACUGCCUUUGAAACUAGAUGACUAGAAUCUUGGAGAGGUCAGUGGAAUUCCGAGUGUAGAGGUGAAAUUCGUAGAUAUUCGGAAGAACACCCGUGGCGAAGGCGACUGACUGGACAAGUAUUGACGCUGAGGCACGAAAGCCAGGGGAGCAAACGGG